AUGGGAGCUGAAGGUGUAUUUCCUAAGUCAAACCUUUACAAGAGUACAGCGCCUGACCAAUUUAUGGAGGUAGAGGAAGAGCUUAAUAUGCUGAGCCUUGAAUCUUUGGAAAACAAUGUUGCUGGACUCCACAAAGUAAACAAUGUUGGGAAGAGCUUAAUAACAAAGCUACAUAUUUGCUCUGGUAAUUGCUUCCUUUCUUCUCAGAAGACCAAAGCAUGCAGCGGGUUUUUGGAUAGGACACUACUUCCAUGGAAGUGGAGUGGAGUAUAUAUACAGUGCUUCCUUCUCCAGCCCACUGCCUGUCCACAAAGCUAUAUGGAGAGAGACACGGUUGCACUGCUGGGCUAG
rnacentral:rRNA from 1 species